rnacentral:lncRNA from 1 species
GGGGAUCCAAUAUUCUCUCCCAAUUGGAUACAUGUGACAUGAUGUGGUUGGUGGAGGAAAAUUUUCAAAAAAUUGAAAGAAAAAAAAAGGGUUAUCAUGUGUUGACCGGAGGAGGGGGUUAAAAAAGAUUCAUUCGCUCACUCUCAUUUAGAGAGUUUUUUGAAAUUUUCUCUAAAAGCUCUCAAAACACUCAUGAACCAAACCUUCCAUCUACGCUUCCACCCUCAUCAGCCGCUCACAACCUCACCCUCUACUUCCCUUUGAACCACCCUUAACUGAAUCUCUGCUCACCUCCACCACGAUUUUGGCCAAGCUACAAAAAGCUAAACCAACGGUGACACCCUUUCCUUGUUUCUUUUCACUCGAUAACCACCAUGAAGUAACUUUCAACCAUCGCUGACUAACUCUCUCCGCCACCACUCUGUUCGCCUCACUCCAUAUCGUGAACCGCCACUGCUACACAUCAAACAUGAGCACCCUUAUAACCUUUGCAUAAUCGGUGUUGGUGACUUUCUUCACGUUUCACAAUAACAUCUUCAACAACACUAAGCAACAACAUUCAACUCAGUAACAUUAGCAACAAAGCACAUUUAAGUAAGCUUAACUACCCUUUGAAGUGAUGUAUACAACUCACUUUUUGUUUUAUGUUUUCACCAACUGCCAACUUCGAUGAUGUUUCGGUAAUACUCGAAUCGAGUUUUCUGUGCUUGUGAUGUUUCUUUUGAUGAUUUCGGUUCGAUAUAAUGCAAGUGAAUUGGAUAUAAUUUGGUAGUUGGUGACUAUAAUUUUUUAUUUCUACUUUUUCUAUUGUAAAUAAUAAUGUGUGGAGACUAUUUCUUUGUUUCAUUUUUGUGUUAAAAAUCGGACAGGUCCACGUGUGAGACAUCCUUCAUAUGUCGUUGCUUUGCCGAAUUUUUCAUUCGACAUAUUUAUGACAUCACAUUACGGUAACGGUACAUUUUUGCUUUUAAAUUUUUUUGUUUGUUUCUUUGUGUAAAAUGUAUUAAAUAUGCUUCUUGUUGAUUGCGAUUUGAUUUCGUGGCGGUGUUAAUGUUUCUUGCUGUUUCGAUUCGAUUUCAUGGCGAUGUUAAUGGCUUUUUCGUUGUUUAUGUUUUUAAUGUGAUGAACCUUGAAAAUAACUCAGGCAGUGAUACUUAUAUCAUGUUUCAUGUGCAUUGAUCUCAUAAUAACUGUAAUACUAGAACUUGGUAAUAAGUCAGUUGUUUCGAUGUUGUUUGGUCUUAAAGGUCGACUAUCAUAACAUUGCAAUAGUAGCUUCGGGACACUAUUAAUCUACUUUGGUGAGAUAUUGCAUUUUGUUGCAUAUUUCGGUUUGAUUAUUUGGUUUUUUUUUUUUACUGUUGUUGUUGAGCACUGUAAUUAAUUUUAAGAGCAUGUAAAUAUAACUUUAUGUAGUAACUUUCAACUUUGUCAUAUUUGAUUUUUAUUGCAUCUUAAUCGGAUUUUUAUUCUGCGGAUUGGAUAUUUUCAUGUCGUUAUGUUGUCAUACUUUUUAUCGAUAUAUUAAUUGUAUUUUGCCACAUUAUGACCCUUGCAUAUGACAUUUCAU